UGGGGAAUAUUGCACAAUGGGCGCAAGCCUGAUGCAGCGACGCCGCGUGGGGGAUGACGGCCUUCGGGUUGUAAACUCCUUUCGCCAGGGACGAAGCGUUUUGUGACGGUACCUGGAGAAGAAGCACCGGCUAACUACGUGCCAGCAGCCGCGGUAAUACGUAGGGUGCAAGCGUUGUCCGGAAUUACUGGGCGUAAAGAGCUCGUAGGUGGUUUGUCACGUCGUCUGUGAAAUUCCACAGCUUAACUGUGGGCGUGCAGGCGAUACGGGCUGACUUGAGUACUGUAGGGGUAACUGGAAUUCCUGGUGUAGCGGUGAAAUGCGCAGAUAUCAGGAGGAACACCGAUGGCGAAGGCAGGUUACUGGGCAGUUACUGACGCUGAGGAGCGAAAGCAUGGGUAGCAAACAGGAUUAGAUACCCUGGUAGUCCAUGCCGUAAACGGUGGGCGCUAGGUGUAGGGACCUUUUGGGGUUUCUGUGCCGUAGCUAACGCAUUAAGCGCCCCGCCUGGGGAGUACGGCCGCAAGGCUA
rnacentral:rRNA from 1 species